AAGCCAUGCAUGUCUAAGUAUAAACGAUUUAAUCGUGAAACCGCGAAUGGCUCAUUAUAACAGCUAUAAUUUACUUGAUCUUGACACAAUCCUACUUGGAUAACUGUGGUAAUUCUAGAGCUAAUACAUGCAUUAAAGCUCUGACCUCACGGGAAGAGUGCAUUUAUUAGAACAAAACCAAGCGGCUUCGGCUGUUUCUGGUUGACUCAUAGUAACUGAGCUGAUCGCAUGGUCUUGCACCGGCGACGUGUCUUUCAAGUAUCUGCCGUAUCAACUUUCGAUGGUAGUGUAUCUGACUACCAUGGUGAUCACGCGUAACGGAGAAUAAGGGUUCGGCUCCGGAGAGUUCGCCUGAGAAAUCGCGAACACAUCUAAGGAAGGCAGCAGGCGCGAAAAUUACCCACUCUCAGCACGAGGAGGUAGUGACGAAAAAUAACGAGACCGUUCUCUUAUGAGGCCGGUCAUCGGAAUGGGUACAAUUUAAACCCUUAACGA
rnacentral:rRNA from 1 species